UACGUAGGGUGCGAGCGUUGUCCGGAAUUAUUGGGCGUAAAGAGCUCGUAGGCGGUCUGUCGCGUCGGCUGUGAAAUCCCGAGGCUCAACCUCGGGUCUGCAGUCGAUACGGGCAAACUGGAGUGUUGCAGGGGAGACUGGAAUUCCUGGUGUAGCGGUGAAAUGCGCAGAUAUCAGGAGGAACACCGGUGGCGAAGGCGACUACCUGGCCUGUUCUUGACGCUGAGGCGCGAAAGCUAGGGGAGCAAACGGG
rnacentral:rRNA from 1 species